UUCGGGACGCCGGCGAGUGGCGAACGGGUGAGUAACACGUGGAGACCUGCCCUGGGGUGGGGGAUAACAACUGGAAACGGUUGCUAAUACCGCAUACGCCUUACGAGGGAAAGAUUUAUUGCCCCUGGAGGGUUCCGCGUCGGAUUAGCUUGUUGGUGGGGUAACGGCCUACCAAGGCGACGAUCCGUAGCUGGUCUUAGAGGAUGAUCAGCCGCACUGGAACUGAGACACGGUCCAGACUCCUACGGGAGGCAGCAGUGGGGAAUAUUGCGCAAUGGGGGCAACCCUGACGCAGCGAUGCCGCGUGGGUGAAUAAGGCCUUAGGGUUGUAAAGCCCUUUCAGUGGGAACGAUGAUGACGGUACCCACAGAAGAAGCCCCGGCUAACUCCGUGCCAGCAGCCGCGGUAAUACGGAGGGGGCGAGCGUUGUUCGGAAUUAUUGGGCGUAAAGAGCGCGUAGGCGGCUUGUCAAG
rnacentral:rRNA from 1 species